rnacentral:rRNA from 1 species
ACGAACGCUGGCGGCGUGCCUAAUACAUGCAAGUCGAACGAACGGAGGAAGAGCUUGCUCUUCCAAAGUUAGUGGCGGACGGGUGAGUAACACGUGGGCAACCUGCCUGUAAGUUGGGGAUAACUCCGGGAAACCGGGGCUAAUACCGAAUAAUAAGUGGUGGCGCAUGCCACGGCUUUGAAAGAUGGUUUCGGCUAUCGCUUACAGAUGGGCCCGCGGUGCAUUAGCUAGUUGGUAGGGUAAUGGCCUACCAAGGCAACGAUGCAUAGCCGACCUGAGAGGGUGAUCGGCCACACUGGGACUGAGACACGGCCCAGACUCCUACGGGAGGCAGCAGUAGGGAAUCUUCCGCAAUGGACGAAAGUCUGACGGAGCAACGCCGCGUGUAUGAAGAAGGUUUUCGGAUCGUAAAGUACUGUUGUUAGAGAAGAACAAGGAUAAGAGUAACUGCUUGUCCCUUGACGGUAUCUAACC